UUGUCAAUGUUAUAUCCAUUUUGGAACUGAAUCUAAGUAAUUUUGCAAAAAUUUUUCACUACCCACUGAGACAA